rnacentral:rRNA from 1 species
UUUCGGGCUGAGUAGAGCGGCGGACGGGUGAGUAACGCGUAGGAAUCUACCUGGUAGUGGGGGACAACUUGGGGAAACUCAAGCUAAUACCGCAUACGCCCUAAGGGGGAAAGCGGGGGACCUUCGGGCCUCGCGCUAUCGGAUGAGCCUGCGUAGGAUUAGCUAGUUGGUGGGGUAAAGGCCCACCAAGGCGACGAUCCUUAGCUGGUCUGAGAGGAUGAUCAGCCACACUGGAACUGAGACACGGUCCAGACUCCUACGGGAGGCAGCAGUGGGGAAUAUUGCGCAAUGGGCGAAAGCCUGACGCAGCCAUGCCGCGUGUGUGAAGAAGGCCUUAGGGUUGUAAAGCACUUUCAAUUGGGAAGAAAAGUUUGUCGUUAAUAGCGCCAAGCUCUGACAUUACCUUUAGAAGAAGCACCGGCUAACUCCGUGCCAGCAGCCGCGGUAAUACGGAGGGUGCGAGCGUUAAUCGGAAUUACUGGGCGUAAAGCGCGCGUAGGCGGUUUGUUAAGUCAGCUGUGAAAGCCCCGGGCUCAACCUGGGAACUGCAGUUGAUACUGGCCGACUAGAGUACGAGAGAGGGAGGUAGAAUUCCAUGUGUAGCGGUGAAAUGCGUAGAUAUAU